UGCAAGUCGAACGGCAGCACGGGAGCAAUCCUGGUGGCGAGUGGCGAACGGGUGAGUAAUAUAUCGGAACGUGCCCAGUCGUGGGGGAUAACGCAGCGAAAGCUGUGCUAAUACCGCAUACGAUCUAUGGAUGAAAGCGGGGGAUCGCAAGACCUCGCGCGAUUGGAGCGGCCGAUAUCAGAUUAGCUAGUUGGUGGGGUAAAAGCCUACCAAGGCGACGAUCUGUAGCUGGUCCGAGAGGACGACCAGCCACACUGGAACUGAGACACGGUCCAGACUCCUACGGGAGGCAGCAGUGGGGAAUUUUGGACAAUGGGCGCAAGCCUGAUCCAGCAAUGCCGCGUGCAGGAUGAAGGCCUUCGGGUUGUAAACUGCUUUUGUACGGAACGAAACGGUUCUCUCUAAUACAGGGGGCUAAUGACGGUACCGUAAGAAUAAGCACCGGCUAACUACGUGCCAGCAGCCGCGGUAAUACGUAGGGUGCGAGCGUUAAUCGGAAUUACUGGGCGUAAAGCGUGCGCAGGCGGUGAUGUAAGACAGAUGUGAAAUCCCCGGGCUCAACCUGGGACCUGCAUUUGUGACUGCAUCGCUGGAGUGCGGCAGAGGGGGAUGGAAUUCCGCGUGUAGCAGUGAAAUGCGUAGAUAUGCGGAGGAACACCGAUGGCGAAGGCAAUCCCCUGGGCCUGCACUGACGCUCAUGCACGAAAGCGUGGGGGAGCAAACAGGAUUAGAUACCCUGGUA
rnacentral:rRNA from 1 species